UAGGUUUCUGUUCUUUGUAGGUACACGAUGAACGAAAUACCUUGUAUAUUUAUUCGAAACAAUCGGUGAAUUACGUUUUGUGGAAACUGUAAAAUGGCCGAAGUACCUGAAACCAACACAAUUAACGUUUUAAUUGUAUAAUGUGUCGAAAGUUUUAGGACCAUGAAGUUUCCAGUAUAAAAUGGCUCUCCACAAGUUGAAAUUGAAAUUGCAAAUGUUCUAGAUAUCAAGUAUCUGAAAUUCAUUAUAAAUUAACAUUUAAUUUGUAUAAUAUGCAGAAACGUUUAAAACAUUUCAUAUAUCCGAUGAGAUCACAAAGCUGUUUAAACGAAUGCUUCUCUAAUUGAAACUUAAUUAAAGUAAAUGCGAGAUUGGAAAUAAUUUCAUGAUUGUGAUUUCACAAAUUUCUUACGUUUGCUUUUAUGAACAGCUUAUUAAUAUAUAAGCUCUUCGUAUCUGAUUGAUUUAUUAUCAGAAUCCUCCUGUAUAUAAUUGAACGUAACAUUAUUAGUUAAUUCUCCAAGUUCCAAGUCCCAAGUUACAAAUCACCAAUGAUAAUUAAUUGUUUUGCAGAACAGUAACAAGCUUGGUAAUAAAACAGGUAGAGUUUCAUGAAACAAUUUUAUAAAGUAUAAGCCAGCUAAAAAACUUUGCAACAGAAGCUUAUAAUCUUAGAAGUUGUCACUUGCCAAUUAACUGUGUAUUAUUAGUUCAUUAAUUAUCGUGCAAGAAGAUUAUCUUAUAUGCUUGACUAAGUAUAAUAAUUCAUUUAUUAAUGGGUUUCAUUUAUUAAUUAUCUUCAUGUUAUCAGAGAGGUUGCGUGAUGCAACAUUCACGACGAUUAGUACAUGCGAAUACAGUUAAGGAUUUGAAAUCAAUAAGGAUUGCACGUACUUAUGUGCUACACUAACGGCAACCAUUUGCUGGAAGCAAGGUGCUAUUCCAGGUUAAGCAUCGAUCGGUUAAAAGGUUACGGGGAAGAAGCGAAGUACAAUGCAUUUUUCACACAAUUUUUAAUUAAUUCCUACUUCUUCAAUUUCUACGAGAGCUUUAUCCAAAGCUACCUUUACACCGAAAUCUAAUCCUUGGUCAAGAACCUAGCUGUAAUGGACGACGUCCAUCUUGUGGUCAAUCAAAGGUCACCAGCGGUCAUUUUCUCAAAACCAUUCCCGCCAUCUACCUAACCACCGUGAAUGCUCCUGAAGACUUCCCUUCUGCUCGUCCGACUAAUUCCGUGAACAGCGUCCAACUCAAAUCACUUUGUGCAAAAUAAUCUAUUACUCGGCUGGCUUCCCUUCGGCAAUACUUUCACACGGCACAAUCCUCCAUGAUGAAAUUGGAACUUUGAAAAAGUUUCCACAUUUGGUGCAGCAUUUCUUACAGCGUUCUUUACGGGAGGAUCCAAUCUUCCAACGAAGCAGGAAUUUUUACAAAAAAAAAAAAAAAAAAAAAGAAGAAGAUGAAAAAGCGCAGAAAUAUGAAUAAAGAAAUUGUAAGAAUAGAAUUGGAGAAGAGUAAUAAAUAAAAAAAAAUAGUAGCAGUAGUAUGCAAUUGGGUUGGCAACUAAGUGAUUGCAAAUUUUGUCAUUAGAUGGUAUUGAUAAAAUCCGCAAUCACUUAGUUGCCAACCUAAUAGAUAGAGCUGAAUUGCAGAACAGAAUUUCAACAAUAAAAAAUAUGAUGAAAUAUGAAAAACGAGAAAUAAAAAUGGCAGAAUAAAGACACCAUGAAAAGAACAUUCAAGAAAAAUUCUAGCAGUUAAAGGUAUAUACAUCAGUAAUAAAAGCAAUACAUACAUAUUGGGGACUGAAUCAAAACUGAGGUUAUGUUUGCUACGCACACAUGAUUGCUGUACAAGUUUUGGUUUCUUAUCGUUUUAGGAUUCAGUCAAUUUGUUCGUGGAAACACCUCGUCAUGUAAACUUUACCACUUGUCGAUUUUACGAUCGUGUCAUAUCGUAAAAACUCCUAUGAUAUGAUCGAAACUUUUCAAACAAUACAUAUAUUGCGAUCAGAGUACAUAUGUAUUUGACGCUUGAAGAAAAGGUGAAUUUUGCUGAACAAAUAAUUCUGCAAGCCAUUUGAAGUUGAGCACGAGGAUAGAAAAUGAAAUUCGAGUAUUACGAAUUAACCCUCAACUUACCUAAUACAGUAAAACUUGGGGGAUAUUUCAUAUCUCAAGAAACGAAGAAAAUUUCUCCAAGUAUGGCUGGUCCCUUAAUUGAGCCGUCUAGGACGAGAGAGGGUCAAGUCAAAAGAGUCGGAAAAUCGAGUUAGCUCGACGCUGCUGUUCCACUGAAAUUGAAUAGCAAGCUUUAAGUAUGAAUUUCACAAGAUGAGAUGAAAUUGAUUUACUUGCCAUUCUAGACUGCUUGAUCAUUUUGAGUCGUAUGACCAAGAAUAGAAAGGACAAUUGAAGGUGAAGAGACAGAGCAGGUUCUUAAAUCUGCUGUUAAAAAACAGUGGUUCUUUUUGCUCAUUCUUUCUCUUUCCCUUCAUUUUUCAUGAUGAGGAGAAACAAGUAUAAAAAUGAGCUAUACUUUUGGACAAUGCAAUUUCGCCCCGAAGACUUUCCUCCUAUGGCCAUAAAAACAAUGGAGUUAUUUAGAUGCUUCCACUUUAUAUAAUAUAAUGUAAUGUCGAGGAGACGCGACUAAGUUUACCAUCUAAAACGUCCCUCCUUACCUCCUCCUCUUUUCAUUAGCCCACAAUGUACGAUGAUUUGAAAAUCUUCUAGAAACGUAAGAUUUGUUUUGCAAAGUGAUAAAAUACGCAGUACAAUUGAACGGAGGAUUAUACCACAUGCGAAAAUAGGUGGGAAAGUUUUCAAGAAAAUAAAAUUUGAAAAUUUUAUAAGCACGCGUCAACUUGACUGAUUUCUUAUUAAAUGAAAGUGGAAGAUGGUAAAGUAGGUAUUUUACGUGCGAAAAUGUAGAAUAAAAUUGUUUUAUUUAAAGCCAGCGUUUUGUAAAAAAUCGGACUUGAAAUUUCCUGCGGUACAUUAAUUAGUCAAAUCCGAUUCUCAUGAAAAUAAAGCCUUAAACGAACAAAUUUUAUCACUACAUUUUUUAACAUAUUGUUGAAUGUAAAACAACCUUCUACCAUAUCCCGUAUAAUAAUGUGAUAUUUUAUUAAUUGUUACAAUUAUCUAGAAGUUUACGUAUUAUAGUUAUUUGACAAAUUAAAAUGCAGAAUAAUAUACAUACAGAAGAAUUUUGGCACUUUUCAAAAUCUAUUAUUCAUCAUAUUAUAUCCAUUUUUACAUUUUCCACCAACUCUUCUACGUUUGCAUAAAUUAGUACAAAAUUAAUGAAGUUAAAACUGUUUUAAACGUUAAUUAGAGACUCUCCUAAAUCUAAUUUUAGUCACAUGCAAUCUUUUUUGACCGAGUUGAAUGUUACCUGUUAUAUUGCGUUCAUCUUCAUCUUACCAUAAAAGGGAUAAGAAAUAUAAAUCGCCAUCUUGAAUCACCCUAUCUGUUGGAAGAUUUUAUCUGAGCUGCCCGAUAGAUUGCAGCUCUGUCCCCCCCCCCCCAUGUGAUUGCUUGAAUACACUCGACACAGUUUUACAUCGUAAUUGAUAACUCGCUUGGAUAUUCGAUUUUUCUGUAUGUUCAGUUUCUCGAUUUCUCGUUCUAGCUACUAACCACGACCCAUCAAUUUACUAUAUGAAGACUACAAAACACGAUACACAAUAAAUCAAAUUCCUUGUCUUUUAAGGAGAAGCAGUUUUAAAAUUUAGUACGUCAUUAAUUAAUCUUAUACCACCAAAAUUGUCUUUUUAUUUGAAUGUAGAUCUAAAGAUUUGUUUUUUCAUAUUCUUUAAAAUAUUACUUAUCUUAAUAAUUGUACUUUGGCUUUUAUAAAACUGUACCAAUUUAUCAACUAUUUUUUUUAAAUUUGCAUCUAUCGACCCAUGCACGUGGCAGAUAAAAGAAAGACUAAAAUUGUUACCUACGCUAUGAAUUUUAGUAACAUUGUUCUAAUUUUUUACCAUAUUGAUAACAGCUAUCUGUUCUGUGGUGUAUAUAAUAUUUGUUAAUUGCUCGUAUUUAAAUAUAAAUCCGUUUUGUAAAAAUAUGGUGCCUUUUAUUCUGCCUUCGGUAGAAUUUUUCAAGUUUUGCGCGACUCUUGUACAUUUUAAAUAUGUAAAAAAUUCUAUAAAAAGUUACUAAAAUACUUCUAGAUAUGUAGUUUAAGGUUACAACAGUUAAAAAUCUUUCCUCUUUGUGAUUAUUUUGCAAAAUGAAAAUCAAUAUUCUGCCGAGAUCAUGGAAGAUAUUGAGUGUGUCAUUUAAUGAUUAAACUCCUUCUGUUUAAUUAUAAAGCAACAUUAAAAGAAGGAAAUUAUUGAAAAUGCGCUUAUCUAUACGUAUUUUUCCCUGUGAUCUUCAUUCAUAAUUAUACGUAUCUUCGGAAAUAUGGCUUUCAAUGGUAUAGCCCAUCUUUACCAAUAUUUACAGCAUAUUUCGAGACAGUAAAGAUCGAAUUACCAAACACGCCAGCCGACAGUAGCGACGCGACGAAAGCAAAGGGAAAAAUUUUUAGCUAAAAACGAAGGAACAGUGAAAGAGAUAUUUCCAUUAACACGACUUUCCAUUAACUGGUCCGUUAAUGAAUUCUCGUUAAAAACUACUCCGUUGUCGUAAUCGUGUUUCUGCUGCAAAACUCUGAACUCUCCCCCUCCUCUUUUUCUCCCUUUAAAACAGAAAAAGAGGAAAAGGGUAGCGUGUGACGGAGGAAGAGCGGGAGAGAUGGUGGAAGGAAAAAGAGAAAAAGAAACGGUGCAGUAUUUCAUAACACGUAUACUAUAUAGGAGAAGGUUCGUCGUUUCUCACUGGGCUUUGACCACGUUUACAAAACGAAUGAAUCCGAUCGUUCUCGCCAGAAGAUAACGGUCUUAGCAAAAAGCAUUCGGUUGAGUGAGAAGAGUAAUUAAAGAGAUUUCUCAGAGUGCACGGGGCGCGUCGAGCUGAGCUCAGCUAUUGUUGUAGUCACCACCACCCCUUUUCCUAGCAAAACCAUACUGCCGUAGAGAUAGUCUUCAGGAACUGGAAUUCCGGAUUAGGGAGUCGGGCAGGAUAUGUCUGACAGAGAAAGAUAAACGUCUAUCGACGACCAGCCCACACCGGUUUAUCAUAAAAUCGAUAUACAGACCGUUGUCUAUAGUCUCUAGUAAAGAUUUUGCUCGUUCAAGGCAAGACUGGCAAGAGCAUCUCUCUAAGAAUCGUAUUAGUAAUGCUCUCCCCUCCCUUCCUCCUCACUUCCUGUCUUACUUUUACAAUCUUGUCACGUGGCUUUUUGUCACGUAAAUGUCGCAUACAUCAUACAUGGCUCUCCAUAUAGAUCGUUUUCUAACCUAAUCUCCGGGAGCUUCGAAGUUCUCCUUCGGAAGAGAAUCCAUUUGUAUAUGACACCCUAUAAAUUUUUCUAUCAUUUAUCGUUAUUUAUCAUGUUUCAUUUUGUACUUCUUUUUCAUUUACAGACAUUCUAUUUGAAAUACAGGGUGUUCCAAUAUUGAUGAUACAAAUGAGGUAGAGGUAAUUCUACGUGAAAAGAACAAAUCGAAAAUAUAGAAUAAAUUUGUUUCAUGGUGAGGUUUUGUUUUCGGGAAAAUCAAAUUUGGAAAUUUGCUUAAUAAAUGUGAAUUUGAUUAAUUACUAACUGAGUACGAGCUGGGUACAAUCAACAAAAAAAUUUAUUCUAUAAUUUCAGCUUAUUUUCACCUCUUCAUUUGUAACAUUAAUACUGGGACACCUUAUAUUAUUUACAUAACCUCUUUUAUCUUCUAAUUUUCUAAUUUUUUUAUUUAAUAAUUUUUCUUAUAUUUCAUUAUCAUUUUAUUCCUUUAUUUCAUCAUUUCUCAGACCUUAACGACGCAUAAGAACAAUGGUGGGAAAUAUGUACAGUGGGGAAAUACCCCGUGAUAGAAUGCAGACUGGCUUCCUUAAGCAAGCGACUCCUCGUCGCAGACUAUAAUAGCUAUUAUGCCGCGUUAAUGCGUCUAUACUCGGAGAAAUCAGAGAAACACUCGAUGUUAGAGUCACAGGAUACAGAAGAGGCCAUCAUAUGGUGGUAAAAAUGUCUAUCUACACAGAAAGAGCUUUUAAGGUAUGAAAAUCACUCCCCUUGCAAAGGGAUGAUAUGCUUUUUUCUUAAAGGUGUGGUUGGAAGAUUCUUCAGACAAGCACAAGGAUCCACGGGUGUGGAAGAAGACUGUUAAAGAGCGUUAAACAUUCCGGCAACAAUGUACAUACUGAUGGUGGGAAUUAUCCACAUGCAGGGUGUUAGAAAGGGAAAAAACUCAAGUUUUCUUUCAAAGGUGGGUACCAACAAAGAGAGAAACGUAAGAAGGAAGCAGAAUCGACCGACCGAACCGAAUUUUGAAUUCGAGUCUCCUGUUUACUACAGGCGCUUUCAUCUUACAGAAUCUUAUAUUCCAGAUGGCCGUUGUAUCCGUAGGAAAAUACAAAGUGGAAGGAAAAAUCUAAAUGUACAUAUAUCUGAAUUCAGAAAAUUUUCUGUAAACUUUAGAGGAGAAUUAUCGUAUUAUUUAAAAUUAUCAGGAUUGUAACACAAAUUAGUAUUUUAUCUAACCUAAUUCUCAAGUAUUCAUAAUUUCAAAUAUCUUCAAACAAAUACAAUAUAUGCCA